GUGCCAGCCGCCGCGGUAAUACGUAGGGGGCGAGCGUUGUCCGGAUUUAUUGGGCGUAAAGAGCUCGUAGGCGGUUCAACAAGUCGGUCGUGAAAGUUCAGGGCUCAACCCUGAAAUGUCGAUCGAUACUGUUGUGACUAGGAUACGGUAGAGGUGAGUGGAAUUCCGAGUGUAGCGGUGAAAUGCGUAGAUAUUCGGAGGAACACCAAUUGCGAAGGCAGUUCACUGGACCGUGAUCGACGCUGAGGAGCGAAAGCUAGGGGAGCAAACAGGAUUAGAUA
rnacentral:rRNA from 1 species